rnacentral:misc_RNA from 1 species
UCCGGUUUGUCACCGGCAGUCUCAUUAGAGUGCCCAACUGAAUGUAGCAACUAAUGACAAGGGUUGCGCUCGUUGCGGGACUUAACCCAACAUCUCACGACACGAGCUGACGACAGCCAUGCAGCACCUGUGUUCCCGUUCCCUUUCGGGCACAGCCCCCUUUCAGGGGCCUCCAGGACAUGUCAAGGGUAGGUAAGGUGGGGAUGACGUAUAGGAACACCAAC